AUGAUUUUUCUCCUUUAAUCUCUAUUCCUGAGACAAGUUGCAUUGAUAGAUUUGUUAAGGUUGACAGUCUUCGAAUUCCUGCAAUAAACUUCACUUUGUCAUUUAUACUAUUAUAUUUAUUACUCUUCUGCUGGAUUCAGUUUAUAAUAUUUUUUAUCCCAUUAAUGUUGGUGUACGAGACUACAGACUACUCUUUCAGAAGCUUAGCUGAGAAGGGGAAGAAAGAGAGAACCAAAGCUAUAGUGACUCAGAAUGAAGGAAGUAUGUAUUUUGAGCAUACUUCCUCAAAGUAUGAAUAGGUUUGUGGGAACAUGUCCAGGGGAGAGGAAACACUUGAGGACGUAAGAGAAAGAGGACAUAACUGAUGGAACAGGAGCCUGUGACGUUGAGACUGGAGGGGAAGAGUCCAGGACAGGUGAGAGAGGCCACAUCAGUUGGGGCCGGUCACGGUUGGAGGCCUCAGUUGCCAUGGCGUCAAGGAAGCACGGUUAUCCUCCCGGGUUAGUGGGUGAGGGCUGGAGGCAUGUAGUGGAAGUUGAGAACAGCUGCUGAGAGAAAUGAGGAAAAUCAGAGGAUUGUCAUGGACGCCAGGCCACACUGAGGUUGAAGACCUUGGCUUUGGGGGGCUUCAGUUUGCAAGAUGAUGUAAUUAUUUUUUCUAGGAGCGCUGUGGGUGUGGAAGGGGACUGUGGGCCCGACGCGGUGUUGGCGUUCUGAUGGGUGAAUGUGGAAGGCAGCCGGUGGAGCUGUGGACCUGACAGUUCCCGCACGUUGGCAACGGGGAUCAUGAGGAACUGAGAGGAUACACACGACACAGCAGGCCUCUCGGAGAGCGCAGCAGGGACGUGGCCUGAGGACAGCGCUUCUGAGAACCUGGUCCAGCCUGCGUGGGAAGAGCUGGAGCGGAAGGGCAGCCUGAGGCCCUCUUCCCGUGCGCCACCCCACGUUUUACACUUUCCAGAUUCCAAGAGGCACAUUGGGAAGGAUGCAGAUGCGUCCUCGACUCAUUCAGGAAAAGCACGGACCAAACCAUCCCACCCUGAGCUCUGCAAUGGACCGCAGGCCGAAGCCAUCCGUUCUGCACACCUGUGAUGUUGACCGGGCUACAACUCCCUCCACUCCUCAGCACCUGUGGCCUCUGGGGGUCGGGGGGCGUCCUCCAGGUAAGGCAGGUAAGACCCAGGCCAGGCCAGCUCAGGGACUUCUGCUGACCCCCCUCAUUAGGGAAGGACACUGAGAUACGGGGACUUAGCUGCCACUUUUGCGAAGCGGCUCACUUGACACGAGCAGAGGAGGUUUCUCGGGCUAAGCCAGCUGCCACCUGACCCCUGACUUCACCAUAACAGUCUCAUCUGCUGACACAGAGGGCGUUGUCAGAGCAGACCAGCAGCAGACGCCUGCAAGUUCAGAGGUGUCUGGCCUCAGAGCUCUCAUCCAACAACAUCCUCUUCUUGGGGCUCUUGGCGUUUUGUGACUCUGGGAGAGUUCCCAGCAGGACCUGGGUACACUGAUGCUGCAGUGACCACCCCUACACCAGCCAGACUAUCUAACUGAACCUCAGUCACAGCAGGAGACUAAAAUCCUCCAAGGUCAGAGAGAAUACAGGGGGCCCCUUUGCCUGGGGGUGCACUACCGUCCUCCCAGCCCUGCCGGCCUCCCCACCAAACGGACCAGGUAAGAAUUAGGUUGUGACGUUGGGUGGGUGGAGGGAGGGGUUACUGGGAUUCCAGCUGCUCACCUGCUUCCUGGGGCUCAGCUCUCUGCUCCCCGCUCCUCUCCUCUCCCCAGGUCCUGGCUCCAUCGCCCUAGCAGAAGGCCUCCCGCAAGCCAAGCCC